AAAGAGAAGAAAAGGAAGGAAACAUAGGGAGGGGAUAAAAGAAAAGGCUGAUUCCACUGGACUAGGAGGCUUCUUGGAGAGUUUUAAAGCAAGUAGUGCUAGGUGGGCCUGCAUUAACUAAGCACAAAAAAGAGAUAAUGAUCAGGGUGGGAUAAUUUGGCCAGUGAAAGCUGGGCUUGUCCCCAUAACUUCUGAGCACAAGGCAGUUUCCAGAGGUGUGGGCCAUUGAUGUAUUUCCAAUGGAGACCAUUUCAGAGAGCAAUUUAGUCCACAAGUCACGUGAGGAGUAGGAUACACAAUUCCAUCCUGAUGACUACCUCACAAAAAAAAGAUGAUGGCCUAUCAUGGCUGUAGCUAUGAGUAAACAUCACCCAUUUUCUCAGGCUCUUUUAUUGAGGGAAGGAUAGACUACAUGGAACAAGAAAACAUCUUGGCAGUGGAAAGAACAAAAAGAGUUUUUGAACAGUGGUAGAAUUCAGCAAGGGACUCAGGGGUCCUACUUUCUUGCCCCUUUGUAAUCCGGCCACUCUCCCUCACAGGAAAAGAAAAACCUUGGCUUGAAAUCACUCAAUAACUGCAGAAGUUCUCAACCUGGACUCCACAAGCUCUUACUUCAAAGUCUAAAGGUGCAAUGCGAUCACAUCCCCACAGGGAGGCAACAUUGUCCCACUCAACGGAGGCUGACUUUUGGAAGCAAAUUGGGCUAGAGAAGGCUGACCACCAGAGGUACCAAAGCAAGUUAUAAUGGCAGAAAGGACAUGGAGCAGAGCUACAAGCAGCAAGGGGACCACCAAGGCAUUCCCAGAGUCUCCUCCCAUCACCCUGUAUCUUCAGUGCUAGGUACAGAAGUCAAGCCCACAGCUCCUUCCUUAGACUCACAGCCUCAAAAGUUCUGUGACCUUGCAGAUGUCACUAUGCAGUUCCCAGAAGAUUUGACCUUUGUUGCUUCUUCCCUUCUAAGAAUAUUCACCAAAGGACUUUAUCCCCUCUCUACCCCUUAUGGUGAGGAUCAAUUGAGUCAAUAUGGGAAGUGCUUCACAAACUCCAAACACAAUAAAAACGUUAUUAUUAUCAUCACUUUCUUAUUAUCAUUAUCAUCAUUAUUUCAGGGGACCGUGGUGACAACAAAAGUAAGUCCCGGCCUCAAUGUUUGACUUACCUCUAAUCCCUUU